rnacentral:lncRNA from 1 species
UAACUCUUCCCUUCAGCAAAUGCCCUAGCUUCACCAAAGAAAGAAACCCUAGCCUCCACCAAUCUUGUCGCCGUCUGUCGGAGUGGGAAACUGCUGCUGCCGCCUCCGUUGCACUCAAGAACUUCCGUCUUCGUGCUAUCGGCGUUCGCUACUUCGAUCUCACCAACCCCUGUUCGCUCUACAUCCCCUGUUCGCUCUCACGAAUCGCCUGGUCGCCGUCGUCUGCGCGCUCAACAGCUCUUCGUCGUCCGUCGAAGGUCAAUACUCACUGCUAGUGGCUUGUUCUUUGUGUUUUUUUAUUGUCUGUUCAGAAAUCAAACCCUCUUCGUGCUUGUUCAUCGAUGGUCAGUGAUAGUCAUUUCUAGUGUUUUUGUUUUCAUUGCUUGAUGAUUAUUGAUUAAGUGAUGCGUUGCUGUUUUCUUUUUUUACUUUGUGCUUGAGAUUGAAUGCUCUGUCAGUGCUUAGUGCUUCUCUUGGAUGUUGUACAUGUAUAUGUGUUGUGUGUGCAUGUUUUCUAAGUUAUUGGGUCCUGUUUACUGUGCAGUGCUCUGAUUUCUUUUGGUCAUCUAAGAUAUCUUCAUUUGUUAAUUGUUAUGUUAAUAGAUCACGCUUUAAGAUACUGAAAGAUGGAAUGAUCAACUAUCAUGUAUUUCCAAAUUUGACUUGUGAUUUAGUCUAUUGGUUCACGUUAGAUAGCUAAUUAGCAAUGUACUGAUCACUUAUUAACAGUGGUUUUAAAAAUUAUGGUUUGAAAAUUGAAUUUCUAGAAACUGGUUUUAAAAGUGGAUUUUUUGUUAAAAUAUCUGGUUUGAAAAUUGGAUUUUUAAAAACUAGUUUUAAAAUUGGAUUUUUGGUUGAAGAAACUGGUUUUAAAACUGGAUUUUAUAAAAAAAAACCGGAUUUAAAACGGUUUGUAUGUAAAACCGAAUUGAAAACCGGUUUGUAAGUAAAACCGGAUUUAAAUUCUAAAACCGGUUUAAAACUGGUUUUUAUUUUUUCAAACCGGUUUAGAACUGGUUUUUCUCUUCAAUCCAGUUCUGGUUUAGUUUCAUGAACCAUAAAACUGGUUCUGAAGUGGAUCUAGUUUGGAUUUAUAAAAAUCCAAACCAUGUCCACCCCUAGUGAUAUUCAACAUUUAAUAGAUUUAGAUAUGAAUCUAGCCAAUUAAUUUAGCUUUGCCUUUUUCUUUCUUUCUUUUUUGUUUAGUCAUAAAAAAAAAAGGUAGGACCAAAUAUAGGAUUUUUUUUUCUUAAUUUAGAUUAGAGAAAGAUAAGAUGUGAUAUGUGUUGAAUUGAAGAUUGGUUUGUGAUAACACAUCUCUGGGCAAAUAUAAACAUGUGAUGUGCCUCCUAGUUCCCUUUUGGUGUCUGCAAUUCCUUUUCCUUCUCAUCUUUUUUGGUUCCCGAUAAAUUGUAUUGAUUUGUGAGGAAUCAAAAUCAAAUCAUGGAAAAAUUAUUCUGCUUUCUUGGCCUCGUUCGUGUUUGAUUAAUUUUCUGUCCUUGGAUUCAGUUUCUUCACAUUUAGGGUUUUGAGGAAAUGGCUGCGGCUUGCAAGCGAUUGGCUCAAUUGUCGGGCUUUAGGUCCUCAACUUUCAACUCAAGUCUCAGAUUAUUUUCCGCAAAGGGAGGGAUUGGUGAUACAACCGCUAUUGUAAUUUAAAUUUACCUUCUUACCAUUUUUAUUUUCUGUUUUCAUGGUUUUUUGUUGUGUUUUCUAACUAAUGUGCAAUUUUAAGCUCGAUAAUGAGUGUUAAUGAGUGGUUUGUCUUACCAUUUUUUGUCUUGCUUACGGCUUUUGCUUUCUAGACUAGGGAACUUGAGGAGCAAGGACUGCCCAAAAGGCAGGCUGAGGCAAUAACUGCCGAAGUUUUGGAAAAUUUUCAAGAAUCAUCCUGCAAGAGGGUGAGGUCUUUUGAUGUUUGUAUUCUUCGUUUGUGAACUUUACCAUUUUCUUGGAAUCUAAAAUAGUAGUUUCGUGUACUAACAUAAAUUUUUUUUCCCUCCUUUUUCUUUUUGUCCCUUGAAAGAUUGAAAUGCUUGAAGAGUCCAAUCAGUUGAAACUCAAAGCUGAAGUGAGGUCACAGGUAUUUGGAAUUUGUGUUUGCAAUCAUUCUCACUGUUUAUUUAUUUAAAUAACGACUGUAAUACUCAUGGGGCAUGUCUCAUAUUCUCAUUUAAUCAUGAGAUGAGAAAUUUGAUUAUAUUGAUAGCUUGAUGAUUAUUGAUUAAGUGAUGCGUUGCUGUUUUCUUUUUUUACUUUGUGCUUGAGAUUGAAUGCUCUGUCAGUGCUUAGUGCUUGUUCUUAGUUGAUUGGCUUUGCUCACUACUCUGGCUUGUUCUGGCCUGCUCUUGAUUGAUUAACUCUGUUACUGACUUAUUGAUUGAUGAUAAAUUGCUACUGAUAAGCUGUUACUGUUUUGUUAGGGAUAAAUUGUUACUGUUACUUAUAAAUUGUUAGGGAUUAGCUGUUACUGUUUUGUUAUGUUUGUUGCUUAAUGGUAAAAUAGAAAUCAAAUCAAAUAUUGUUUGUUGCUGAAUGAUAAUCUUUGUUGCUGAAUGCUGUUGGUAGUAUUAAUUCUGUGCUGCUAUUAAUUCUUUGGCGGUGCUGCUGCUGUUUUUAAUUUUGUGAAUGAUUUAUUAAUUUCAAUGAAAAAUUUGCCACAGAUGUUGAGGG